UACAGAGGGUGCAAGCGUUAAUCGGAAUUACUGGGCGUAAAGCGUGCGUAGACGGUUACAUAAGUCGGGUGUGAAAGCCCCGAGCUCAACUUGGGAAUUGCAGUGGAUACUGGCAGGCUGGAGUACGGUAGAGGAAGGUGGAAUUCCCGGUGUAGCAGUGAAAUGCGUAGAUAUCGGGAGGAACACCAGUGGCGAAGGCGGCCUUCUGGACCAGUACUGACGCUCAUGCACGAAAGCGUGGGGAGCAAACAGG
rnacentral:rRNA from 1 species